ACCUGCGGCCACACCACCUUGAAUAAGCCUGAUCUCGUCUGAUCUCAGAAGCUAAGCAACGUUGGGCUUGGUUAGUACUUGGAUGGGAGACCACCUGGGAAUAUCAAGUGCUGUAGGCAUU
rnacentral:rRNA from 2 species